rnacentral:rRNA from 1 species
CUGCAAGUCGAGCGGACUUGAUGGAGAGCUUGCUCUCCUGAUGGUUAGCGGCGGACGGGUGAGUAACACGUAGGCAACCUGCCUGCAAGACCGGGAUAACCCACGGAAACGUGAGCUAAUACCGGAUAUCUCAUUUCCUCUCCUGAGGAGAUGAUGAAAGACGGAGCAAUCUGUCACUUGCGGAUGGGCCUGCGGCGCAUUAGCUAGUUGGUGAGGUAACGGCUCACCAAGGCGACGAUGCGUAGCCGACCUGAGAGGGUGAACGGCCACACUGGGACUGAGACACGGCCCAGACUCCUACGGGAGGCAGCAGUAGGGAAUCUUCCGCAAUGGGCGAAAGCCUGACGGAGCAACGCCGCGUGAGUGAUGAAGGUUUUCGGAUCGUAAAGCUCUGUUGCCAGGGAAGAACGUCCGAUAGAGUAACUGCUAUCGGAGUGACGGUACCUGAGAAGAAAGCCCCGGCUAACUACGUGCCAGCAGCCGCGGUAAUACGUAGGGGGCAAGCGUUGUCCGGAAUUAUUGGGCGUAAAGCGCGCGCAGGCGGUCAUUUAAGUCUGGUGUUUAAGGCCAAGGCUCAACCUUGGUUCGCACUGGAAACUGGGUGACUUGAGUGCAGAAGAGGAGAGUGGAAUUCCACGUGUAGCGGUGAAAUGCGUAGAUAUGUGGAGGAACACCAGUGGCGGAAGGCGACUCUCUGGGGCUGUAACUUGACGCUUAAGGCGCGAAAAGCGGGGGGGAGCAAACAAGGAUUAAAAUACCCCUGGGUAGUUCCACGCCCGUUAAACCAAUGAAAUGCUAAGGUGUUUAGGGGGUUUUCCAAUACCCCUUUGGUUGCCCAAAAUUUAACCAC